GUGGACGCCAGUCUGCGUGGAGCCGACCUUGAAAUACCACCCUUUAAUGUUUGAUGUUCUAACGUGGACCCGUUACCCGGGUUGCGGACAGUGUCUGGUGGGUAGUUUGACUGGGGCGGUCUCCUCCUAAAGAGUAACGGAGGAGCACGAAGGUUGGCUAAUCCUGGUCGGACAUCAGGAGGUUAGUGCAAUGGCAUAAGCCAGCUUGACUGCGAGCGUGACGGCGCGAGCAGGUGCGAAAGCAGGUCAUAGUGAUCCGGUGGUUCUGAAUGGAAGGGCCAUCGCUCAACGGAUAAAAGGUACUCCGGGGAUAACAGGCUGAUACCGCCCAAGAGUUCAUAUCGACGGCGGUGUUUGGCACCUCGAUGUCGGCUCAUCACAUCCUGGGGCUGAAGUAGGUCCCAAGGGUAUGGCUGUUCGCCAUUUAAAGUGGUACGCGAGCUGGGUUUAGAACGUCGUGAGACAGUUCGGUCCCUAUCUGCCGUGGGCGCUGGAGAACUGAGGGGGGCUGCUCCUAGUACGAGAGGACCGGAGUGGACGCAUCACUGGUGUUCGGGUUGUCAUGCCAAUGGCACUGCCCGGUAGCUAAAUGCGGAAGAGAUAAGUGCUGAAAGCAUCUAAGCACGAAACUUGCCCCGAGAUGAGUUCUCCCUGAGACUUAGAGUCUCCUGAAGGAACGUUGAAGACGACGACGUUGAUAGGCCGGGUGUGUAAGCGCAGCGAUGCGUUGAGCUAACCGGUACUAAUGAACCGUGAGGCUUAACCUUACAACGCCGAAG
rnacentral:rRNA from 1 species